rnacentral:lncRNA from 1 species
CCCAAAUCCCUAACCUUUAAAACCCUAUAUCCCUUUCCCCUUUUAAAAAAGAAGAAAAAAGGAAUCCUAGGAAGACCAGCCUUGAACCCUAGGACUCCAACCCAGCCGCCUCUUCAUCUUGCUCAGGUCAUCAUUGGCCGGAAAAGACCAGCCACCACCAGCCCUCAACCAGCAACCUUUCUUCUUCACCAACCCUUCACCAGUCGCCCAACCCUAAUAACUCACCCCUACAACCAACAGCCGAUGCCUUUCUCUAAGGCAGCCGCCGCCAGUCGCCACCAUCCCCCACAAAACACCAUAGCCGCCACCCUAAAAUGACCACCCUCUGCCGCUGGCCACCCGCUCUUCCUUCUUCACCACAUGACCUCCUCCUCUUCAAAGAAUGAACCGCCUCUUCACUCUCACCCAUCUCCAACCGCCACCCCUAAAACCAUCAACUACCAAAACACACACACUAAAAAAAAGAAAAAAAAGGAACAUCUCAUUAUUCUUAAAAAAUCAUAGCAGUCCUAGAACACCAUAGCAAGCCUUAGUCCAUUCGGACUCCCCGUUCUUAGGCCUUUCAUUGUAGCAGUGGAAGCCCCAAAAUCAAUAAACCAAGCAGCCGAAAAAUCAAUUGUCGACCAUGAAUAGCAGCCAGAAACUUGUUUGUCGCAGCAAUCUCUUUGAGCUUUAGUUCUCGUAGAAUCUUCUACAGAUCUCAUCGCUGUUCCUCACCCUUCACAUGAUCUCGUUCAAUUCAAUUCUAUUUCUCACCUAGUUUCCUAAUUCAUGGUUUUGUUCGAGUGUUUCGGUCAGCAAGCUUGGUCGACGGUUCUUGUCCAUGGUUCAAGUACCGGCCUAAUUUUGUCAUUAGUUCAUCACUUCAGGUCUAUCUUUCAUCUUUCUUGAUGCUUUAUUAGGAUGAUAUGAUGUUAAUGGUUCUGUGAAGAUUUAGAUUUUGUGUCUUGCGUUUAAUUUUAUGUUAUUUAUUCUACCAUACUUUAACUUCUUUUUGAAUGCCUGCUGUUAAAUCAUUGAUCUUGUUUUGGUCGUGCCUAUUUAUUAGUGUCAUGAAUCUAAUCUUAAAUAUUGGUUUGAUCUAAUAUUAGUGGAAGAAUUGAACUUGGGAUUUAUUGGUUUAAAAUUGGGUUUGAGGUUUGGUUAAUACUGAGAAGGAAUUUGUGCUUAAGAAAGAAUGUAUUAUUCUCAUUUCAUUUUUCUGUUUGUUACUCGGGUUGCUAGGAAUAUAUUUAGGCCGACCACACAUGGGUAGGCAAUAUUAGGGCAUUCUAUUAUUAGUUUUCGAGGUGAGAGGUCGUUCCUUUAGUUAAAGUUAUUCGGAGAAUGUCCCGAAGCAUUUGUAGACAUUUUAUUCCGAGGAUGCUCCGAAGAACUUUAUAAAUAAUUUGGAGGCUUUGACGAGCGCCGUGGAGAAGUCAUAGCAUAGGUUAGUUUAAGAUUUUUCUUUUCUUUUUUCUUUUCUCAUAUUAGGUGGGGAAAAACCUCGAGCAUUUUAUGUGUUUAUUUUCUUUUGUUUGUCGUUUUUACCUCAAUUCGAUAUUCUUAAAUGGCAACUAGAUUGAGUGUGCAACCGUGACUUUCACGGGACUCAAGGAAUGUCUAACACCUUCUCCUUGAGUAAAAUGAACCCCCUUACCCUGAAUCUCUGGUUCAAACUGGUUUAAGAGUUAAAUGUGUUUUGAAGGGAAAUUGUUAUUUUAGAAAUGAUGACCUGGCACACCGAAACCAAAUGUCAGGUGGCGACUCUGAAAAAUCUUCGAAACACAAUAUUUUUGUCACUUUUCAAAUUGAAAACCCUUUUGAGCUUUAAAAAAUCUUUUCAUUAAUUUUUAAAUGGUUAAGGUAAAAAAGGGGUGUGACAGCUUUAGCGACUCUGCUGGGGAGUUGCAGGUUCGAGCUGAUACUUUAUCUUGUUGGUUUUUAGGAUAUCUGAUUGAGGUAUUUGUUUUCUUUAUUUGCUUUGCUUUGUUUAGUUUGUUUGUCUUAUUUCCUGUUUGUUGGUUAUUUGUUUAUCGUUUUUCCUUAUGUGUUUACCGCUUUAUAACUGUCAUUAUUUGCAAAACCCUGAGCCAAUUCUUUCUGCAACAAAUCUCGUAGUACGCGUCACGUACAUGAACUCUUUGUUAAAUCACCCUUAUUUUAACAGAGCUCGGUCCCGGUCACCGUGUCCCUUGUAAGAGACCUAUCCAAAUUAUGUCAAAAUGGGCUCGUGACCUAAAAACACAUUUAAUCAUCUCUAUGUGCUACAUGUUGAUUCUUUAAGGGUAAAAGGGAUUAUUUGGCGGACCAAUGAUGGUUGAGGAUAAAUGAGAAAGAAAAGUGGGUGGAGUGUAAAAUAAAGCAAGCAAGGCCCAGCUAUAUUUUUCUUUCACAAUGUUUUCAAGAAAAAGACCCCAAAAAAUGAAAAUGAAAAUUCCAAAAAAAAUUGGCACUUUCCCAUCAUUUUUCAAAAAGACAAAAAAAUAUGUUUUCUCCAAAUCAGUUGUUAUUUUGAAAUUUUGUCCCGUAUCCAAUCUUUUCGAACUACGCAUACCUGAUUCUCGUCUCUCGGACGGGAUAAGUAAGCAACCCACAUAGAGUCCGGACUUCCUAGUGAGUCUUAGGUUCUUGGCUUCGGGGGGGUCGUAGCCAAAUUUUGCAUGUUUAGCUGCAUUUGGCCAUAUGGGCCGUUUUUGCAAAAUAGGGUUAUUUCCUCAAAGUACUUUGUUAUCCCAUGUCUUAGAGCCCUAAGUCCACAACAAGGUGUCCUCUUAGUUUUAAGUUCCAUUCUUGUUGAAUUUGCAUCUCUAGCCGUGUUUGGCCACAUUGGCCAUUUUUGCAAAAUGGGUCACUUUUGCAAAGUAAUUUCUAGGGCCAUGAUUAUUGGGAGAUUGAAGUCAUAUAAGCCUUAGUGAGGUAUUUUCAUGCCUUUGCGGUCACCUUUUUUGAGUUUGCACUAAUAGCCACCCUUGGCCACGUAUGCUAUUUUGCAAAAAUAGCCCAAUCAUGCCUUGUAUAUGUCAAAUAGAAGGUGUUGUGGCGUCGCAUAGUAUCUUGAGUCACUGAUAUAUUUGGUCUUAUUUUUCUCAUUCAGGUAUGGAUUCAUGUACCAGAGCUUGAGCAUGACAGAUACCCCAGGACCAUCGCAUUUGGGAGCUUGUUUGAAGAGACUUUUUAUAUUUUUUAGUCCGUUUUCAUGUUUUCUUUUACUUUCUUGUCUUGUCUAGUUGUUUGGACUCUUUUAGGUGGUGUAAUAGUUUGUCAAGUCUUUUGUCAUCACACUUCCCAUUUGUAUUUGAAAACAAAAAACUUAGUUAUCAAUGAAAAAUCCAAAAACUUUUUGUUUUUUAGUUUAUUUUGUCCAUUACUUUUCAAGAACUACGUUUGGUCUGACUCAUGUGGAACAUGAUACGUAGGCAACCUACAUAGAAUUCGAUCAAAUUAUUAUUUAAAAAAAGGACAAAAAAGGGAAAAAAGAGAAUGAAGUUGUGGGACGUGAGGGGUGAGAGAGAAAAUAGUGAUAAUUAGAAAGAAAAGAGAGGAAGGAAAAUGAGCAAGCCAAGAAGUGCUAGAAAAGAAAGAAAAGAGGAGAUUGAAAUGAACAAAAUUGGAAUGAUACCAA